AUGCAGUCGAGCGGUAACAGGGGAAGCUUGCUUCCCGCUGACGAGCGGCGGACGGGUGAGUAAUGCUUAGGAAUCUGCCCAGUAGUGGGGGAUAGCCCGGGGAAACCCGGAUUAAUACCGCAUACGUCCUACGGGAGAAAGCAGGGGAUCUUCGGACCUUGCGCUAUUGGAUGAGCCUAAGUCGGAUUAGCUAGUUGGUGGGGUAAAGGCCUACCAAGGCGACGAUCCGUAGCUGGUCUGAGAGGAUGAUCAGCCACAUCGGGACUGAGACACGGCCCGAACUCCUACGGGAGGCAGCAGUGGGGAAUAUUGGACAAUGGGGGCAACCCUGAUCCAGCCAUGCCGCGUGUGUGAAGAAGGCUUUCGGGUUGUAAAGCACUUUCAGUAGGGAGGAAAACCUUAUGGCUAAUACCCAUGAGGCUUGACGUUACCUACAGAAGAAGCACCGGCUAACUCCGUGCCAGCAGCCGCGGUAAUACGGAGGGUGCAAGCGUUAAUCGGAAUUACUGGGCGUAAAGCGCGCGUAGGUGGUUUGGUAAGCGAGAUGUGAAAGCCCCGGGCUUAACCUGGGAACGGCAUUUCGAACUGUCAGACUAGAGUGUGGUAGA
rnacentral:rRNA from 2 species